CCUGAGAAACCCAAAAGAUCGAAUGGGGAGAUUCAUCGUCAGCGGCUCCGGUGCGUGUGCGGUUCGGGAUUUCGCGGGCGCCUUCUCGGCCUCGCGCGACUCGUCCGCCAUUGUUUUUUUUAUGCCGGAGCUCGUCGACGUGCACUUCUCCCCUAGUAGGACGUCGCGACCCGUUGGGUGUCGGUCUACGACCCGGGUGGGAGUCCGUCGUGCGUCGCGCUUCACGGCGCGUCAUGCGGCAGACCCCCGGAUGUCUGACCGGCUGCCCGGCGGUACUCGCACGGUAUCGGGCCGCAAUCCUUGAACUGCGUCCGGCCCGUCGCAAGCGAGGACAAGUGUUUCUCGGACGUACGGACCUCGUGCCGUCGCCGGGCCUGUCCAGCUGUUGGUAGACGGUGCUCUCGGACUGGCUCUUGAACGAUAUACCGGUCGGCGACGCUACUGCUUUGGGUACUUUCAGGACCCGUCUUGAAACACGGACCAAGGAGUCUAACAUGUGCGCGAGUCAUUGGGAUAUGUAAAGCCUAAAGGCGCAAUGAAAGUGAAGGUCGGCAUUGCGUCGACCGAGGGAGGAUGGGCACCGUCACGAUGCUGUCCCGCACUCCCGGGGCGUCUCGUUCACAUUGCGAGAAGAGGCGCACCCAGAGCGUACACGU
rnacentral:rRNA from 1 species